AGGAAAUGCAAGAAGAAGAAAGAACAAAAGUAGACUGCACAAGACAAAGCACAAUAUGGCGUGGCGUGGCAAGGUUGCGUUAGCUGGAUGCAUGCUGAGUGAAUACCAUAUCAAAGCACCUGGGAGUAAAGUUGAUGAGGCAGUUGCAUUUCCCAAGGAUCACACAACUUGAUGAGUACCAUCCUUGGAGUGUUGGAAACUGAGAAGGACUUCACAUAAAUAGACUGCCUGAUAUGGGCCAGGGUGAAGUAUCCUGACCAAAGCUCUUCUCUCAGCAUUUUUGCUGUACACACUGGUGCUAGAGACCUGGGCAAUAAUGACAGAAGAAGUGUGCUGGAUUUGGAA